CCCUCAACCACCCCACACACACACGCAUAAUGUGUGUUCUUUGACUGAUAAUUUGUAUUUGCUUAGUCUAUUUGAAAGACAAACCAGACCCAUCUCCAUUGAAUCCAUAUAACCGCAUCUUGGGCUCCUUUCGUCGCACCAUCCUCCAUUAUCUCCACUUCUCAUUCUCUCGCGAGUAUAACUCCGGUAAACCUCACUAAAUGCAAGCCAGACCCAUAGACGCUUGCCACCACUUCUGGUCCAAUUAACGACUUCUUUUUUAAGAAUUCAGACAAAUUCAUAACAAGCAUGAGGUAUAAGAAGACUUGCCGAGCAUACCUUAAAUGGUGUCUUGUUCAACAUCAUCCAUUAAAGAAAGUUAAUAGCAUGUCGUGUUCUUGAGAUUUAACAUGUAAGUUUUGAAAAGUUCAAUUUUAUAAUGUUUUUUUAUAUGGAUUAUUGGAUUUUAAUAAUCCUAAGUUUCAUCUAUUGGUCGAUAAUAAUCCCAAUUUUAAAAAUUCCUUCCAACGAUCCCAACUUGUAAGAAUUUGGCCCUCAUUGAUUCUUUUCUAACAUAGGUGCACUUAAAUCAAUUAAGGAGUCUCCAGAUGUACUUGAAUCUAUGGAGUAGACCAAAUUCUUAUAUGUUUGAAAAGGAUCAAUGGGGGCCAAACCUUUACAAGUUGGGAUCAUUGGAGGGUAUUUUUAAAGUUCGGAUUAUUAUCGACCAACAGGUGAAACUUAAGAUUAUUAAAAUUCAAUAACCAUUUUUAUAUUAAUACUUCUACACCUACUGAUGUGUAAAAUGUUUGAAUAAAUUUGAAAACAGGAAAUUAAAUGGUCAGACUAACUCAAUUACACACAAUCUGCAAGUGUAUCGGUCGUGAUAUAAUAAAGUCGGUAAGACCGAGUAUCAAUCCAAGGACAUAAUGGCGCGUCUCUCGAUACUAAACCGAUAUCGAGUCAUAGUCUAGUAAUAUUUAGUGGAUGUUUGGAUUUCUAUUAACUAGAGCAAGUACGAAUGCAAUUACGAAAGCAUAGCAAGCAGACAGCGAAUAUAGGUGAAAUCAGGUGCUGAGAAAGUAGCUACCUUGACAAGAAUUAUGUUAGCUCGUUACAGCUCUCAGGAUUGGAUAAUUAGAUUUGGCUAUCAGAAUCUUAAAAUACAAUAAUCUAGACCUAAGACUGGAUCGUAGAUCACUCUCCAAACAUGACACAAUCUAGUAUCUAGGGAAGUGUGUAAAAUCACUUGUCUAGGGUUCAUAUCACCUCUCAGUCUCUCUAAACGAAUUAUAAGUAUCCUAAAUUUGGAUAUCCUCUUGUUACCACCAGAAAAGUACAUCAAGGAAGUAUAAGAGAUGUAACGGGUAGUGAAUUUAACAGGUUUCUAACACAGGAUAACAAGGAUGCUAAAGUUCACUACUUUGGAAACAUCACAUGUAUUAUGCUCUGAUAACCUUGUAAAAAUGCUUAUGACAAUGUAAUGCGUGUUGCAUCUCACUAGUUUUUCUUUACACAUUUAUACUUAGAUCCAUAAAAGUUCGGAUUUUUCUAUAGUAUAGCUGACGUUUAUACCAAGGUUUGGGAACAAGAAGGUAAUACUUGCUUACCAUACGCAGCUGUAAGUAUGAUGACCAUGUUGUACAAGUUCAAAGAAGAUGAUGACACAAUUGAAUUGUCCCCCCAGUCUAUGUUCUUCGGUGACAUGACAUUUUUAUCAACCUUAGAGAGCAUCUUACGCAAAA